rnacentral:rRNA from 1 species
AAGAACUUGCCUCUUAGACCGGGACAACAUCUGGAAACGGAUGCUAAUACCGGAUAUUAUGGUUUUUUCGCAUGGAGGAAUCAUGAAAGCUAGAUGCGCUAAGAGAGAGCUUUGCGUCCCAUUAGCUAGUUGGUGAGGUAACGGCCCACCAAGGCAAUGAUGGGUAGCCGGCCUGAGAGGGUGAACGGCCACAAGGGGACUGAGACACGGCCCUUACUC